UGCUGAUAGUAAAGUUGGGGUGCAGAUAGUAAAGAGGAAAAAGAAAACCUUGACGCACACCCAUCGCCUUUCUCUUUCUCUUUCCACCGUAAACCACUCCAACCUAUCUACGUCACCUCCAUAACCACUGUUCCACCAAACACCAAAGCCACAAACCACCGGCGAGCCACUCGAUCGGCGCUGACAUCGCAACCCCAUUACCACAGUCACCAACCUCAACGCAUCACAGCCAACCAACAGAGACCUAAACCCAACCAAACCGCCACCAACCAAAUCCACCACUAACCUUCAGAGGAAGAAAUUCUAUAACAAUUUUUAGAGGGCACAACUGAGACGAUGAAAGAGGAAAUAGAAGAAGAAAUUUGGUUUGCACUUUCGCAUUUGGGGGUAAUGGGAAGCGUUCUGAGAGUGUGAACGACGACGCUAUGGAGGCCGGAAAUCACGGCAGCGCCGCAUAUGGAGGCCGGAAAUCACGGCAGCGUCGCAUUUGGAGGUCGGAAAUCGCGGCGGCGCCGCUUCACGGAGAGAUUGUGUUGGCAUCUAUAGUUGGGGAUUUGGCUUAUGGGUUCUGUUAAUGUGAUGGAGAUAACUACCGCUAGAGGAAAAUAACGCUAAAGGAAAAUUAUCGAAAGAGCUUUUUCUGCCAUUUUCAUUCACGCAUUCAUAUAUUUAUAUAUGUACAUGAAAUUACCAAGAGUGACGUGCGGCUAUCAUAUUGUUUUUUGUUCUA